CCUACGGGUGGCAGCAGUGGGGAAUAUUGCACAAUGGGGGAAAGCCUGAUGCAGCGACGCCGCGUGCAUGAAGAAGUAAUUCGUUGUGUAAAGCUCUAUCAGCAGGGAAGAAAAUGACGGUACCUGAGUCAGAAGCCCCGGCUAACUCCGUGCAAGCAGCCGCGGUAAUACGUAGGGGGCAAGCGUUAUCCGGAUUUACUGGGUGUAAAGGGAGCGUAGACGGUAGGGCAAGUCUGGAGUGAAAGGCGGGGGCUCAACCCCCGGACUGCCUUUGAAACUGUACGGCUGGAGUGCAGGAGGGGUAAGUGGAAUGCCUAGUGUAGCGGUGAAAUGCGUAGAUAUUAGGAGGAACACCAGUGGCGAAGGCGGCUUACUGGACUGUAACUGACGUUGAGGCUCGAAAGCGUGGGGAGCAAACAGGAUUAGAUACCCCUGUAGUC
rnacentral:rRNA from 1 species